AUUGAACGCUGGCGGAAUGCUUUACACAUGCAAGUCGAGCGGCAGCACGGGGGCAACCCUGGUGGCGAGCGGCGAACGGGUGAGUAAUACAUCGGAACAUGCCCAGUCGUGGGGGAUAACACUUCGAAAGAAGUGCUAAUACCGCAUACGCCCUGAGGGAGAAAGCGGGGGAUCUUCGGACCCCGCGCGAUUGGAGUGGCCGAUGUCAGAUUAGCUGGUUGGUGGGGUAAAGGCCUACCAAGGCAACGAUCUGUAGCUGGUCUGAGAGGAUGAUCAGCCACACUGGGACUGAGACACGGCCCAGACUCCUACGGGAGGCAGCAGUGGGGAAUUUUGGACAAUGGGGGCAACCCUGAUCCAGCCAUUCCGCGUGAGUGAAGAAGGCCUUCGGGUUGUAAAGCUCUUUCGGCAGGAACGAAACGGCGAGCUCUAACAUAGCUUGCUAAUGACGGUACCUGAAGAAGAAGCACCGGCUAACUACGUGCCAGCCGCCGCAGUAACAC
rnacentral:rRNA from 1 species